UGCAGUCACUAUCAGGGUGAAAAAAGGCAAGGUAGGAAGUAGCCUAGGGAUAUAGUAGCAAGGUUUGGGACUGUGCAGACCAUGACUACUUGCUGUAGGGUCUCUGGGCUGGAACUCAGUGAAGAGGGCAGGCCUGGGUUCCCCUACCAGUCACUGGGUUGCACUAUUCUUAAGGGGAAGUGGGUCCCAAAAGACUUCGGGGGUAUACAACCCCUACCUCCAAAGGGAAAACCACAGUGACCUGGCCAGAGGGUCAAGGUACAAAGCAGGUGUGGUUGAGUACUGAGAGAGCAAGAGUGAUGGAAUGCAACCUCAGGAAGGCGCAUUGACCUGGCAGAGCUAAUCCUCAGAUGUGGCCGGAAGGAGGCGCUCCAACGCCACGAGAAGAAAGUGCCUGGUGAUGUGAUGCUGAGAAAUAUAGUACAACAGAGAACUGCACUGAACAGUGGUGGUGUGGGACUGCAAGAAAGUAAUUUACUCUAAACAGCAAAACAACCAAACCGCUAAUGUUCCAGUGAACAGCUCCUCCUGAAUUCUGAAACAAGACCCACCAGGUUUAGCAGAAGAUUCAAGCUUUUGCCAGUCAGAAUCAUUUCACUCUGAGACUUUCUGAUAUUUGAAAACUUAAUCAGUCAGUAUACUUUGAGGCCGGCACUGCACUGACCUUCCUACCCUCACAGAAAUGGAAUUAAAGGAAACUGCCAUUUUGCUCAAAUGUUCCCUCAACUCAAAUGUGAGUGAAACAACAGGGUGAAGCGCCUUUAGAAAAGGCAGCAUCAAUGAGACUUCAGCAAGGAAUCUCUGGCACAUCUUGUGGGAUUGUCACAAAGUUCAUUGGCUGAAGAAUUUCUUGAAGGUUUAUAAUGGAUAAAAUCUGAAGAUGCAAAGGGCAUGUGGUUAUACAAAUUUAGCAUGGCUGACCAGGCCAGGACCCAACUUAUGGAGCUGAAAGCACAGGGCUUCUUUGACGCCUCAGGUGGAGGAUAACUCAGGGGUUCGUGCCCCCUCUUUACAGUCCAGUCAACCUUUGAAAUGUAUUCUUCUGAAAUGUAUCCCCAGAUAAAGUUUCUUUUCCCUGCUGGGCGUAGAUGCCAUGUUGUCUGAUGUAGACUCCAUGCUGUCUUCUCCCCUGCUGGUGAUUUUCACAAUGCAAAUGCUCUCUUCCUGCAACCUCCAUUACAAAUGAAUAGCCCACUGAAUUUCGC